rnacentral:rRNA from 1 species
ACUAAGCCUAGCCCGACCCGACCCAAACAAAACUACCACACACAACUAAACUAAAACAUUUACCCACCUAUUAAAAGUAUAGGAGAUAGAAAUUGAACUCAGGCGCUAUAGAGACAGUACCGUAAGGGAAAGAUGAAAGAUUAAAUUACAGUACAAAACAGCAAAGAUUAACCCUUAUACCUUUUGCAUAAUGAAUUAACUAGAACAAUCUGACGAAGCGAACUGCAGCCAGAAGUCCCGAAACCGGACGAGCUACCUACAAGCAGUCUAAAGGACGAACUCAUCUAUGUGGCAAAAUAGUGAGAAGACUUGAAGGUAGGGGUGAAAAGCCAACCGAGCCCGGUGAUAGCUGGUUGUCCAGGAUAGAAUUUUAGUUCUACCUAAAAUUUACUAAAAAGAAACAUUAAUCCCUAUGUAAACUUUAGAGGUACUCAAAAGAGGUACAGCUCUUUUGACACAGGAUACAACCUUAGCUAGAGAGUAAGCAUUUCACAAUCCAUAGUAGGCCUAGAAGCAGCCACCAAUUAAGAAAGCGUUAAAGCUCAACACCAUUAAACUCGUUAAUACCCUUAAAAUUAGCCAUCUCCUAGACCUAAUACUGGACUAUUCUAUUUUUUAAUAGAAGAAAUAAUGUUAAUAUAAGUAACAAGAAUUAUUUCUCCCUGCAUAAGCUUAUAUCAGAACGGAUGCCCACUGAUAGUUAACAACUAGAUAAACUAAACCCACUAACCAGAACCUUAUCAAACCCAUUGUUAACCCAACACAGGCAUGCUUAAAGGGAAAGAUUAAAAGAAGUAAAAGGAACUCGGCAAACACAGACCCCGCCUGUUUACCAAAAACAUCACCUCUAGCAUAUUAAGUAUUGGAGGCACUGCCUGCCCAGUGACACACGUUCAACGGCCGCGGUACUCUGACCGUGCAAAGGUAGCAUAAUCAUUUGUUCCUUAAUUAGGGACUUGUAUGAAUGGCCACACGAGAGUCUAACUGUCUCUUUCUUCCAAUCAGUGAAAUUGACCUCCCCGUGAAGAGGCGGGGAUAAUCCUAUAAGACGAGAAGACCCUAUGGAGCUUAAAUUAACUAACUUAAUAAUAUAAAUAUCCACCCUACGGGCUUAACCUAGCAUUUUUAUGAGUUAACAAUUUUGGUUGGGGUGACCUCGGAGAACAAGAAAACCUCCGAAUGAUACUAUGACUCAGACCUCACCAGUCCAAGUCUGCGAAUCACUUAUUGACCCAAUUAUUGAUCAACGGAACAAGUUACCCUAGGGAUAACAGCGCAAUCCUAUUUUAGAGUCCAUAUCGACAAUAGGGUUUACGACCUCGAUGUUGGAUCAGGACAUCCCAAUGGUGCAGCAGCUAUUAAAGGUUCGUUUGUUCAACGAUUAAAGUCCUACGUGAUCUGAGUUCAGACCGGAGCAAUCCAGGUCGGUUUCUAUCUAUAUGCCAUUUCUCCCAGUACGAAAGGACAAGAGAAAUAGAGUCUACUCUUAUACGGAGCGCUCUAAUCUUAAUUCUAUGAAUUAAUCUCAAUAUAAAUAAAUUGACCAACCCUGCCCAAGACCAGGGCCU